rnacentral:rRNA from 1 species
GACGAACGCUGGCGGCGUGCUUAACACAUGCAAGUCGAACGGAAAGGCCCUGCUUGCAGGGUACUCGAGUGGCGAACGGGUGAGUAACACGUGGGUGAUCUGCCCUGCACUUCGGGAUAAGCCUGGGAAACUGGGUCUAAUACCGGAUAGGAGCCAUUUUUAGUGUGAUGGUUGGAAAGUUUUUUCGGUGUAGGAUGAGCUCGCGGCCUAUCAGCUUGUUGGUGGGGUAAUGGCCUACCAAGGCGGCGACGGGUAGCCGGCCUGAGAGGGUGGACGGCCACAUUGGGACUGAGAUACGGCCCAGACUCCUACGGGAGGCAGCAGUGGGGAAUAUUGCACAAUGGGCGGAAGCCUGAUGCAGCGACGCCGCGUGGGGGAUGACGGCCUUCGGGUUGUAAACUCCUUUCGCUAGGGACGAAGCUUUUUGUGACGGUACCUAGAUAAGAAGCACCGGCUAACUACGU